rnacentral:tRNA from 6 species
GGGCCGGUAGCAUAACGGUUAAUGCAGCGGCCUCAUAAGCCGUUGAGUGCGGGUUCGAAUCCCGCCCGGCCCACCA